UAGAGGAAGAAAAGGUCAGCAUCAUAACCAUAUCACGCAUCAAAGAUCCAAGAAAGGAGUUUUGCCAGUAUAAAGUUGGGGAUUUGGUGAAAGCCAGCUGCCAUGGCUUUUCUGGCGUGCAUCCCGCCAAGAUCUUAGAUGAUGGAGCUGAUGCCUGGUAGUGGGAUCUACAUUUAUCCCAAAGAUAUACAAGCUUUAUAUAAACCAAAAAAACAAAAACAACAAGUGGAACUUUUCAGGAGGGGGAACCUAACUGGUGCAAAUGAAAAGACCAUUUUAAACACUAUUCUUGGUAAGAGAUUAUAAUCUAAUUAAUAAAUUCUUUAUAUAACACUAAUAACAAAUUGUUUAACUUCGAAUAAGAAUAAUCAGUCGCCCACAUUUCUUUCAAUUUGUGAAGAUGUAUUUAAAAGGUGAAAACAAAAAAACUUGUAAUUUCUGACAUCCAUCUUUUAAAUUGGAGAAUCAAUGACAGUUAGUUACUAGAGUAUUUUCUUUUUUAUUUAAAGACGAUGCCGGGAUUCAGAGGCCAUUGUCAAGUUUUCGAUGAGGACCAAGAUUAGUUCCCAAGUCAGCCUCCAGAACAUGAAACAGACCUAGCUUUUAUACAUUCAGUAAUGUGAGAUAUAUAUAUAUAAACUGGGAAACUUUCUCACUUACCGGCACGAGCGGGAUUCGAACCCGCGCCCACAGAGGUGAGAGGCCAUGUGAUUUGGAGCGCGAUGCUCUAACCACUCGGCCACCUUUAUAAAUGAAAUUAAUAUACCAAUAAUAGUCGCUGUUUAUAAUCGGUAAUGUCUUAUUAUCCCCAUCUUUUUUGUAACUUUUCCAUAACUUCUGUCGGGUAUAACUUUUUUGUAACUUUUCCAUAACUUUUGUCGGGUAUAACUUUUAUGUAACUUUCUCCAUAACUUUUGUUGGGUAUAACUUUUUUGUAACUUUUCCAUAACUUUUGUCGGGUAUAACUUUUUCAUAACUUUUGUCGGGUAUAACUUUAAUGUAACUUUCUCCAUAACUUUUGUUGGGUAUAACUUUUUUGUAACUUUUCCAUAACUUUUGUCAGGUAUAACUUUUUUGUAACUUUUCCACAAUUUUUGUUGGGUAUAACUUUUUUGUAACUUUUCCAUAACUUAAGUAUAACUUUUUGAUAACUUUUGUGAAGUAUAACUUUUUUGAAGUAUAACUUUUUGAUAACUUUUAUGCACUUGUUGUAUUCAUGUUGAAAUAAAAGAUGAUAACUUAUACAUGAGUAUAACUUUUUUGUACCCGAGUUAUAAGUAAAGUAUAACUUUAUUUGAAGAAGUGGUUCCAAACUCCGAU